UCGGUAUUCACUGAAGAACGGGCCUGGGUAACUACAGGCAGGGAAAGACUGGUGAGGGGGCAACUGCCCUUGGCUGCUCCCAUUUAGCAUAGGUCACUACUUGAAGUUUUGUUUUGUGUGUUCUACCUGCAAUUCUACAUGUAUUCACAGUAUUCUCAGACUUACAAUAAUGACGCCUGAAAGCAGUACUGUUUAUUUUUUUUGAACACAUCUGAGUUGUAAUUUGUGCCCGUUAUAAAUAUAUACUAUGUAUUUGCAUAUGUUACUAUCACCUGUUUACGUGUAAUUGUGUACCAAGGCAUAUCAUAAAUAAAGCUAGAUAGUUGAUCAAACUACAGGGAGUCCCCUUUGUUGAUAAUAAGAAGCGACCAGAAAGUGAGAAAAGCCAACAUAACAUAAUACACUAUAUUAUCCUAAUUAGUAUAAUGUAUAAAAUCAUGUUAAAAAUUAAUAAAAGCAUAAUGAGUAACUGGAACUUAAGUACUGUAAGCUAUUACACGGGGCAAUUAAACAGAAAAA